rnacentral:rRNA from 1 species
AGUGAACGCUGGCGGCGUGCCUAAUACAUGCAAGUCGAACGGAGAUUAAGUAGCUUGCUAUUUAAUCUUAGUGGCGCACGGGUGAGUAAUAUAUAGCUAACUUGCCCAUUACUAAGGGACAACAGUUGGAAACGACUGCUAAUACCUUAUACUCCGUAUCUAUAUAAGUAGAUACGGGAAAGUUUUUCGGUAAUGGAUAGGGCUAUAUCGUAUCAGCUAGUUGGUAAGGUAAUGGCUUACCAAGGCUAUGACGCGUAACCGGUCUGAGAGGAUGAUCAGUCACACUGGAACGGAGACACGGUCCAGACUCCUACGGGAGGCAGCAGUAGGGAAUAUUGCUCAAUGGGGGAAACCCUGAAGCAGCAACGCCGCGUGGAGGAUGACACUUUUCGGAGCGUAAACUCCUUUUCUUGGGAAAGAAUUAUGACGGUACCCAAGGAAUAAGCACCGGCUAACUCCGUG